GAUGAACGCUGGCGGCGUGCUUAAGACAUGCAAGUCGAACGAAGGAUUUAGCAAUAAAUUCUUAGUGGCGAACGGGUGCGUAACACGUAGGUGACCUACCCCGAAGUGUGGAAUAACAGUCCGAAAGGACUGCUAAUACCGCAUGUGGUCCCGGGUUUUAGAAAGCCGGGUCUAAAGCAGCAAUGCGCUUCGGGAGGGGCCUGCGGCCCAUCAGCUAGUUGGUAGGGUAAUGGCCUACCAAGGCUACGACGGGUAGGGGACCUGAGAGGGUGGCCCCCCACAUUGGCACUGACACACGGGCCAAACUCCUACGGGAGGCAGCAGUCGGGAAUAUUGCACAAUGGACGAAAGUCUGAUGCAGCAACGCCGCGUGCGCGAUGAAGGCCUUCGGGUUGUAAAGCGCUUUUCGGGAGGAUGAGGAAGGACAGUACUCCCGGAAUAAGGUACGGCUAACUACGUGCCAGCCGCCGCCGUAACAC
rnacentral:rRNA from 1 species